rnacentral:rRNA from 1 species
AUUGAACGCUGGCGGCAUGCUUUACGCAUGCAAGUCGAACGGUAACAGGCCGCAAGGUGCUGACGAGUGGCGAACGGGUGAGUAAUGCAUCGGAACGUGCCCAGUCGUGGGGGAUAACGCAGCGAAAGCUGCGCUAAUACCGCAUACGAUCUAUGGAUGAAAGCGGGGGACCGUAAGGCCUCGCGCGAUUGGAGCGGCCGAUGUCAGAUUAGGUAGUUGGUGGGGUAAAGGCUCACCAAGCCAACGAUCUGUAGCUGGUCUGAGAGGACGACCAGCCACACUGGGACUGAGACACGGCCCAGACUCCUACGGGAGGCAGCAGUGGGGAAUUUUGGACAAUGGGCGCAAGCCUGAUCCAGCAAUGCCGCGUGCAGGAAGAAGGCCUUCGGGUUGUAAACUGCUUUUGUACGGAACGAAAAGGCUCUGGUUAAUACCUGGGGCUCAUGACGGUACCGUAAGAAUAAGCACCGGCUAACUACGUGCCAGCCGCCGCGGUAAAAC